rnacentral:rRNA from 1 species
GUAGGUGGCAAGCGUUGUCCGGAAUUACUGGGCGUAAAGGGCCUGUAGGCGGCAUGGUAAGUCCGUAGUGAAAUCUCCCGGCUUAACUGGGAGCGGUCUAUGGAUACUGCCAGGCUAGAGAUCAUCAGAGGAGAGCGGAAUUCCCGGUGUAGUGGUGAAAUGCGUAGAUAUCGGGAGGAACACCAGUGGCGAAAGCGGCUCUCUGGGGUGGUUCUGACGCUGAGGGGCGAAAGCGUGGGGAGCAAACCGGGAUUAGAUACCCGGGUAGUCCACGCCCUAAACGAUGAAUGCUAAGUCUCCCGGGGUAUCCACCCCCCCUGUGGGCUGUAGUUAACGCGUUAAGCAUUCCGCCUGGGGGACUACGGCCGCAAGGCUA